CCUACGGGAGGCAGCAGUGGGGAAUAUUGCACAAUGGGGGAAACCCUGAUGCAGCGACGCCGCGUGAGUGAAGAAGCGUUUCGGCGCGUAAAGCUCUGUCAGCGGGGAAGAAACACGGUUCGCGAGAGCCGCGGACGGUACCCGACCAAGAAGCCCCGGCUAACUACGUGCCAGCAGCCGCGGUAAUACGUAGGGGGCAAGCGUUAUCCGGAUUCACUGGGUGUAAAGGGAGCGUAGACGGCGAGACAAGUCUGGAGUGAAAGGCCGGGGGGCAACCCCGGGACUGCUCUGGAAACUGCCGGGCGGGAGUAGAAGAGAAGUAGGUGGAAUGCCUGGGGUAGCGGUGAAAUGCGUAGAUAUUAGGAAGAACACC
rnacentral:rRNA from 1 species